GGACGUCAUAGAGGGUGAGAAUCCCGUAUGUGACCGGCCGGCACGCCCGUGUGUAGCUCCUUCGACGAGUCGAGUUGUUUGGGAAUGCAGCUCAAAAUGGGAGGUAAAUUUCAUCUAAAGCUAAAUACCGGCCAGAGACCGAUAGCGCACAAGUAGAGUGAUCGAAAGAUGAAAAGCACUUUGGAAAGAGAGUCAAACAGCACGUGAAAUUGUUGAAAGGGAAGCGCUUGCAACCAGACUUGCCCGCGGGGGAUCAGCCGGUAUUCUUACCGGUGCACUCCCGUGUGGUCAGGCCAGCAUCGGUUUGGGCGGCCGGAUAAAUUCCCCGGGAAUGUAGCUCCUUUCGGGGAGUGUUAUAGCCCGGGGCGCCAUGCGGCCCGCCCGGACCGAGGUCCGCGCUUCGGCUAGGAUGCUGGCGUAAUGGUUGUAAGCGGCCCGUCUUGAAACACGGACCAAGGAGUCUAACAUCUAUGCGAGUGUUUGGGUGUCAAACCCAUGCGCGUAAUGAAAGUGAACGGAGGUGGGAACCCUUAAGGGUGCACCAUCGACCGAUCCUGAUGUCUUCGGAUGGAUUUGAGUAAGAGCAUAGCUGUUGGGACCCGAAAGAUGGUGAACUAUGCCUGAAUAGGGUGAAGCCAGAGGAAACUCUGGUGGAGGCUCGCAGCGGUUCUGACGUGCAAAUCGAUCGUCAAA
rnacentral:rRNA from 1 species